ensembl:ncRNA lncRNA:CR43684 long non-coding RNA:CR43684
UUAAACCUUCAUCAGGAUGAGAUUUUUCAUACUUUCGGUGCUGUUCGGGCUAGCUUUACUCGCUAACUUUACAGAAGCGGCAGCUAAACCAGAUUGGAUUACAGUGAGGGAAUACACAGUCUCACUUGAAAUAGAUUAAACUAGUUAAGAUGUGAAAAUAACAACUUUCUUCAAAUGUAUGUGUGCACGAAAAGAAAGUCAAUUUAAUUGUUUAAACUCUCAGUUGGUCGUCUACGUAUUUGCAAAAACUUUCAAACUGUCACCUGCAGUCGUGCAUACAAAGUUGCAGUAGUAAUCAUACUAAAAUGUUUAACUAAAACUGUGUGCCUUGGCUUGGAAAUUACACUUAGUGUUACAUUGUUUGGUUAGGAAUAUAAACUAUAGUAUACAAUUCCUUCUUGUUUAUAUGGUUGAAU